rnacentral:rRNA from 1 species
GACGAACGCUGGCGGCGCGCCUAACACAUGCAAGUCGAACGGUGAACGGGGCUUCGGCCCCGGGAUCAGUGGCGAACGGGUGCGUAACACGUGGGCAACCUGCCCCAGACCCUGGGAUAACCCCGGGAAACCGGAGCUAAUACCGGAUACCCCGACCGAACCGCAUGGCUCGGCCGGGAAAGGUCCGCCGGUCUGGGAUGGGCCCGCGGCCUAUCAGCUUGUUGGUGGGGUCACGGCCUACCAAGGCGACGACGGGUAGCUGGUCUGAGAGGACGACCAGCCACACUGGGACUGAGAUACGGCCCAGACUCCUACGGGAGGCAGCAGUGGGGAAUCUUGCACAAUGGGCGAAAGCCUGAUGCAGCGACGCCGCGUGAGGGAUGAAGGCCCUCGGGUUGUAAACCUCUUUCGGCAGGGACGAAGCGAUCGUGACGGUACCUGCAGAAGAAGCCUCGGCUAACUACGUGCAAGCCGCCGCCGUAAUAC